rnacentral:rRNA from 1 species
CCCUUAGAUGUUCUGGGCCGCACGCGUGCUACACUGAGUGGAUCAGCGGGUCAGGUUGCGCGAAAGUGUUUCCUAAUCUUUAAAUCCGCUCGUGAUGGGGAUUGACGGUUGCAAUUUUCCGUCAUGAACGAGGAAUACCUUGUAAGCGCGGGUCAUCAUCCCGCGCUGAAUACGUCCCUGCCCUUUGUACACAUCGCCCGUCGCUCCUACCGAUUGAGUGGUCCGGUGAGGCUUUGGGAUCUGAGCGGAAAGAGCGUUUCGCUGUUUCUGCCCGGAAAACUCAGUCGAACCUUAUCAUUUAGAGGAAGGAGAAGUCGUAACA